AGCACCCAGGUGAGAGUCGCCGCGGCCCCAGGUACCUGUUCCCGUGGCCCUCCUGGCACAACCCACAGUGCAGGAGCUCAGCGAAGACUCACUGGGGUCUCUAAUGCCCAGGCCAGCUAAGGACCCACAGGCUAAUGGGCUUUCAGCUUUGCCACCCCCAGGGAAAAGCCACAUACUUUUCUAAAGACGCACUCUUCUAGAACGGACCUGGAGGUCCCCUAGCAAGAGCACUGCAGAGACCUCAUGAUUCAGCCUGUUGAAGCCUAAGUGGUUCACCCAUGAAGCUCAUUCACUGAUGGGGAUUAGAUUCUCUAACCCAGAGACACCAUGUUGACCUACUCUCAAGGGUGACCACAUUCUACAGUAGAGGAACGUGGCCAGUAGCCACUUGUGGUUGGAGAUAUACGAAAGUGUCUCCAGCUGGCCUGCUGGCUGCCCCAGCCUCCUAACAGUUCUCCCAGCCUCCAUGUUGGACCCUGUGGUUUUCCGUCCACACCUGGUUGCUCAGAGAGACUCUUGAAAAUAUUUGGUGAAACCCAGCCUACAAGAGGCUGUGACUUGGGUGAAGAAUUCAUGGGAUCAAAUCCCUGACAGCUGUGUUUCCCCACGCACCUGGAGCAGGCUACGUGCACAAGCAGCGCUCAUUUGAGGAGAGCUCUAUUCAUUUGCCAGGAAUGGCCCUGAAGUGUACUCACUGGCCCAGCAUAGUACAAGUAGCACCCUUUCCUCUUUCAAAAACAUCUUGGUUUGGCUGAUAACAUACCCGAUCUCCCUCUGAUGGCACUCCCUGAAAGCUCUUCAGAAUAA